AGAUGGAAUAGCGUUUGUCAAAUUGACGUCUAUAAAGUUUUAUUACAUUUAUUUUUUUGCUAACCUUAACCAAAUGUUCCUAACCUGCUACAUUAAUUAUCCUAACCUGGUACGAAAAGUCAAUUCUGGUCAGUUUUGACUAUCUAUAUUGUCAAAACCAGGAAACAGUGACACACUGCUCAUGCGCUGUAGACCCUUUUAAAUCUUCACCCGAUUAGACGACAAUCACCCCAUUAAAAGGUGUGACCGGUAAAAUGAUUUCCACUUUUUAAUGGGGUGAUUGUCUAAUCGGGUGGAAUCUUGGACCCUUUACCAGACCGUUGUGUGGCAGCCCAGGCAUAUUUUUGUUAUUUUGGUUGUAGUGAGCACAGUCAAACAGUUGUAGAGAACGCCAGCUGCUGUGGUAAAAGGAAUUAAACUUUCAAUAUCAAGAUGAUGUCCUCGAAAGGGUCGUGUUGCUGUGUUUUCGGUGAGACCUGCAACAAACUAUAAACAAUUCAAGUUUUUAGAUUUCCGAAAGAAAGUGGACCAUUGCUAUGAAUAGAGAUGGCUGGCUACCAACAGCAAAUUCGAAGAGUUGCAGUGCACGCUUAAUUACAGCAAUGACCUGGGGAAGAGUUACAGGGUGAAGGUGAGAUGAUUGCAAGCUAGGGAUGAAUAGGUCUAUUUGAAAAAAGAAAUAGAUAAUCCCCAUUUAACAAUCCUUAAUAAAUAUAUUCUCAGAUUGUGGGUUUCUAGAUCAGGCCUUGUGACCCAAUUAUGCACCCUUUCCCCUGAAGUAUGCACUUGUCCACUACCCCACAUGGAACUCACCUGUAAGCAUACGCCUAUGCUUACACCAAUCCUAUGCUUUUAAUUCCACGAAUGGGAGUGAACAAGUGUGCACUUAACGGAAAGCGGUGUUUGCCUACAUCCAUCCUCAGAUUAUAAUAGAUUGGGAGAGGUUAAGGGACAAAGACAAACAUCUAUUGUAAUAAAUGGACAAGUUCAAGUAUUUUCAUCUUAAGUCAAAUGUCAUUACCAAAUUAGUGUUACAUUUAUCUAAUUACGUUGCCAUCCAAUGCUUCUGCGCUCCUGUCUUUUGGAGAGAUGUAAACCACUAUUUUCAGGUAAACCAUCCAAGGAUGUCGUGCAUCCAAAUGUUGUUCCUUCUAAACUCCCUGACAAAGAUGGGGACCACGGAAUGGAGAGGUACAAAAGGUAAUUGAAUAGAGCGGCUCAGAAAGACAGCCUGCUGAUGGAUGAGAUUAGAGUGGCAGUGCAGCAAAUAGAGGAAGCGCCUCAGCCUACCAAGAUGUAGAUACGUUCUGUGUUCAUGAUCUCUUUUACCACGUUGGUCCUCAUCUGGUGGCCAGCGGAGAUACAAUCUUCGGCAAAAUCAUUCGCAAGGAGAUUCCUGCAAAAAUAUUAUUUGAACAUUACAUUAACAUGUUGAAACUGUAUAUAUUUGCAAUCACUAUUCAGUCUGACACAAAGGCAUAAACUUUCCAGAACACAUUCUCUCACGAUCUCUGCAGGUCAGAAUGUUGAAUAAAAUAAAAUUUGAACACACU